AUUGAACGCUGGCGGCAUGCCUUACACAUGCAAGUCGAACGGCAGCACGGGAGCAAUCCUGGUGGCGAGUGGCGAACGGGUGAGUAAUAUAUCGGAACGUGCCCAGUCGUGGGGAUAACGUAGCGAAAGCUACGCUAAUACCGCAUACGAUCUAUGGAUGAAAGCGGGGGAUCGCAAGACCUCGCGCGAUUGGAGCGGCCGAUAUCAGAUUAGGUAGUUGGUGAGGUAAAGGCUCACCAAGCCGACGAUCUGUAGCUGGUCUGAGAGGACGACCAGCCACACUGGGACUGAGACACGGCCCAGACUCCUACGGGAGGCAGCAGUGGGGAAUUUUGGACAAUGGGCGCAAGCCUGAUCCAGCAAUGCCGCGUGCAGGAUGAAGGCCCUCGGGUUGUAAACUGCUUUUGUACGGAACGAAAGGUUUGUCUUAAUACGAUGAGCUCAUGACGGUACCGUAAGAAUAAGCA
rnacentral:rRNA from 1 species